ACAAGUGAUUUUGCCCAAAAAGCAUGCGCAUUCAAAAAACAAAAUAUGCAAGACAUGAUGACCAUGACGACGUGCAGAAAGUGCACUGGCCAGUGCAUACCCUAUGGCUAUGUACUAGUAAACAUGGUAAACAUGAACAACAUCAUUAUUCAUCGGCAGUUCAUUUUACUCCGAGCUUUUCCUGAAACAUAUAGCCAUGAUGAUUAGGCCUACCAUGUACCAUGACCAAUAUCAGCACUAGAUCAUGUAUGUCAACAAGUUCACAUGAACCGUAUAAUCCCGCAUGGCGCAUGUGGCGCAUGAUACUUUCAUUGACAUUACAGGCACACAUCCACAGAGCACUCUUCAAAUCAUCUACACAGUGGUUAUCCAACUAGGAUUAUAAAGGCACACAUUGACAUCGACCACUGUUGCAAUCAACGACACAGUCGCUAUCCAAGUAGCAUUAUAGAGCUGUCAUGCAACGCAACAACUGUGCUAUCUGCCAUCGCACAUCAACGAAGAAGUGCAGCCGCCCACAUUCCACCUCGCGUCUGUCCGACCAGCUGCAAUCCUCGAGGACGCCCCACUGUACCACGAUUUCACUACGAUGUUUGACAAGAAGGAGCAGUGCGCGAGAUAGGCUAAUGAGCAGACUUCCCUCGCUUGAGUUUCGGAAGAAUGUUCCAUAUCGCGCUAAGCUGACCACUGCUGACCAUGACA